GACAGAGGGGGCAAGCGUUGCUCGGAAUUACUGGGCGUAAAGGGCGCGUAGGCGGGAUGGCAAGUCGGUCGUGAAAUCCCUCGGCUCAACCGAGGAACGUCGAUCGAUACUGCUGUUCUUGAGGAUUGCAGAGGAGACUGGAAUUCCCGGUGUAGCGGUGAAAUGUGUAGAUAUCGAGAGGAACACCAGUGGCGAAGGCGGCUCACUGGGCACCACCUGACGCUGAGGCGCGAAAGCGUGGGGAGCGAACCGG
rnacentral:rRNA from 1 species